rnacentral:lncRNA from 1 species
UGUCGGAUAAGGGACAAGACCCAAAUCCAUGAAGCCCAGUGAGACGUAUUGACCCGCUCUGCUUCCAGUCCAGGUCGCACAGAAGCAGGCAGCCCAGUCUCCAGGUGGCACUUGGGAUGAGGAGAAGCCAUGCAAGGUCAGCAGCCUGGCGUGAGGAAGUGUCCUGCUCCCGGCAAAGCAACGGCACAAGUUCAUCUAUGUUUGGACUCUGGCCCUGGCAGGUUACAAACAGCACCUAAAGGAUGGACAACCUUGGGAAGUGUCCUGUGCUGCCUGAGCCUCUUUCAAAACAGUAAAUCUGGAGGGGACUCUGCCACAUUUCCACAUGCUCCCUUUUCCCAAGUCAGAAGUUAGAGGUGCAGGACAAAAAGGCAGGGGGGUGGGGGGAGGAGAAACGGGACACUUUUGCUCCUAAAGCAGUGAAAGAGUAAUAAUAAUCACAGAAUCACAGAAUCUUCUAGGUUGGAAGGGACCUUAAAGAUCAUCUUGUCCAACCGUCAACCUAACUGACAAAAAUAGACACCCACACAACAAACAAGGAGCAUCAUCACUAAACCAGACCUCCCAGCACUACAUCAACCCGGCUUUUGAAUAAUAAUAAUAAUAAUAAUAAUAAUAAUAAAUAUAAAUAUAAAUAUAAAUAUAGUAUCA